UACGUAGGGUGCGAGCGUUGUCCGGAUUUAUUGGGCGUAAAGGGCUCGUAGGCGGCGUGUCGCGUCGGGAGUGAAAGCCCGUUGCUUAACGGCGGGUUGGCUUUCGGUACGGGCAUGCUGGAGUGCGGCAGGGGAGACUGGAAUUCCUGGUGUAGCGGUGGAAUGCGCAGAUAUCAGGAGGAACACCAAUAGCGAAGGCAGCUCGCUGGGACGUUACUGACACUGAGGCGCGAAAGCGUGGGGAGCGAACAGG
rnacentral:rRNA from 1 species